AUUGAACGCUGGCGGCAUGCCUUACACAUGCAAGUCGAACGGCAGCACGGGGGUAACCCUGGUGGCGAGUGGCGAACGGGUGAGUAAUGCAUCGGAACGUACCCAGUUGUGGGGGAUAGCCCGGCGAAAGCCGGAUUAAUACCGCAUACGACCUGAGGGUGAAAGCGGGGGACCGAAAGGCCUCGCGCAGUUGGAGCGGCCGAUGUCGGAUUAGCUAGUUGGUGGGGUAAAGGCUUACCAAGGCGACGAUCCGUAGCUGGUCUGAGAGGACGACCAGCCACACUGGGACUGAGACACGGCCCAGACUCCUACGGGAGGCAGCAGUGGGGAAUUUUGGACAAUGGGGGCAACCCUGAUCCAGCCAUGCCGCGUGCGGGAAGAAGGCCUUCGGGUUGUAAACCGCUUUUGUCAGGGAAGAAAUCUUCUGGGUUAAUACCUCGGGAGGAUGACGGUACCUGAAGAAUAAGCACCGGCUAACUACGUGCCAGCCGCCGCAGUAAAAC
rnacentral:rRNA from 1 species